GCUGGACGAUACGCCGGAUGUUAGUUUCUGUCGUUUGGAAGGCGGACCCUCGCCGGAUGCGCUGUAUUCUCUUUUGAUGUUUGUUCCUGUAUCAAUCACCGAUGCAAAUUUAUAAUAUUAAUAUAACGAAUAAUCACCUUGUGAAGAGCAGUCAGAAAGAUUGCUGGAACCUCCGUUGAUGAACAAUUGCUUGAAGAAGGAACGCCGUUUUUCCGCCGACGGUAAUCUCACUUCGUACACUUCGCCGUGAUUAUCGUCGUACAGUUCUGCAAUCUGUGAUGGCAGCCAAGUUUAUUACAGCUAAUUACUUAUCUUAUAUGAAUAGAUAUAUUGUGGCAAUAUAUUAAUGAUUCCUGAGACAUUGGAAAAAUAAACUUUAUAAAAAAUAUAGCAAAUUAAGACAAUUAAGGCAAUUAGUUAAACUUAAACGCACUAAAUGCAUACAAAAUACAAAAAAAAGCAAUGUUAAAAUAAGCGCCUAUCGAAAUUAUUGAAAGGACGUUACCUCCAGUGGCAGAUUAGAAUGUCGACAAUGGGCAGUCAUUAAGACGAGCAUGUGGACCGAUCGGUCGAGACCACGCAUUAAUGAGGUGA